rnacentral:rRNA from 1 species
CCGGCGACCGGCGCACGGGUGAGUAACACGUAUGCAACCUGGCCGUGACAGAUGGAUAACCGGGAGAAAUCCCGCCUAAUACAGCAUGACGCCGGGAAGGGACAUCCCUUUCCGGCCAAAGGGGGCGACUCCGGUCACGGAUGGGCAUGCGGCGCAUUAGGUAGUUGGUGGGGCAACGGCCCACCAAGCCGACGAUGCGUAGGGGUUCUGAGAGGAAGGUCCCCCACAUUGGAACUGAGACACGGUCCAAACUCCUACGGGAGGCAGCAG